GGGGUUGCGGCUCAGCAGUAGAGCACUAGCCUAGCACGUGGAGGCCCUGGGUUCAAUCCUCAGCACCACA
rnacentral:tRNA from 1 species